rnacentral:rRNA from 2 species
CCCAUGCCGAACUCAGAAGUGAAACGCCGUAGCGCCGAUGGUAGUGUGGGGUUUCCCCAUGCGAGAGUAGGGAACUGCCAGGC